rnacentral:rRNA from 1 species
AGUGAACGCUGGCGGUAGGCCUAACACAUGCAAGUCGAACGGCAGCACAGUAAGAGCUUGCUCUUACGGGUGGCGAGUGGCGGACGGGUGAGGAAUACAUCGGAAUCUACUUUUUCGUGGGGGAUAACGUAGGGAAACUUACGCUAAUACCGCAUACGACCUACGGGUGAAAGCAGGGGAUCUUCGGACCUUGCGCGAUUGAAUGAGCCGAUGUCGGAUUAGCUAGUUGGCGGGGUAAAGGCCCACCAAGGCGACGAUCCGUAGCUGGUCUGAGAGGAUGAUCAGCCACACUGGAACUGAGACACGGUCCAGACUCCUACGGGAGACAGCAGUGGGGAAUAUUGGACAAUGGGCGCAAGCCUGAUCCAGCCAUACCGCGUGGGUGAAGAAGGCCUUCGGGUUGUAAAGCCCUUUUGUUGGGAAAGAAAAGCAGCAGGUUAAUACCCCGCUGCUCUGACGGUACCCAAAGAAUAAGCACCGGCUAACUUCGUG